rnacentral:rRNA from 1 species
GACGAACGCUGGCGGCGUGCUUAACACAUGCAAGUCGAACGGAAAGGCCCUGCUUUUGUGGGGUGCUCGAGUGGCGAACGGGUGAGUAACACGUGAGUAACCUGCCCUUGACUUUGGGAUAACUUCAGGAAACUGGGGCUAAUACCGGAUAGGAGCUCCUGCUGCAUGGUGGGGGUUGGAAAGUUUCGGCGGUUGGGGAUGGACUCGCGGCUUAUCAGCUUGUUGGUGGGGUAGUGGCUUACCAAGGCUUUGACGGGUAGCCGGCCUGAGAGGGUGACCGGCCAAAUGGGGACUGGGAAACGGCCCGAACCCCUAGGGGGGGAAGGGGGGGGGAAAUUGGCAAAAUGGGCGGAAGCCUGAGGCAGAAACGCCGGGUGGGGGAGGACGGCCUUCGGGUGGGAAACCGCUUUCGCCUGUGACGAAGCGUGAGUGACGGUAAUGGGGAAAGAAGCACCGGCAAACUACGG